GUCUCUGUAAGUUUGGAUUUGAAUAGAGUAUCAAAUACUCUUUCUGUUCCAUUUGUCCGCAACAAUAGUGAUGACGUUCUGCCAUAUUCGAAGCUCUAUUUCCUCCUUCUAUGGUGGUGAAUUGGAGCAAAUAUCUUUCUAUCAACUUCACAUCUGUCAGGUGGUAUUAGGUAUCUCUCAUGACCAGACCACAUUUUUUCACCCAGAUCCCGAGCUCUCUCUUUGUAAGGUGAUUGAAGGGUUUUGUUAAAAGGGUCCAAUAAUUAGAUUAAUAAUAAUAAAGAAAGAUAAUUAAGAAAGUAAAAACUCCACAAGUUUCACUGCAAUUCUCUCCUUCCUUACACAUUUCCUCUCUCUUUAUUUUGAUACUCAAAAAAUUGAUGAAUAAGGUGAAAUCAUGAAGCUUAAACUUGAACAUUUACUGAAAAGUAUGUUCCUACUGCAUCCAUUGAAGAACGGUGUGAUUUGUUGGAUUUUUACAUAUAAUAUGUGUUCGGUGUGCGUAAUAUUGUCAAUUUUGAAUAUCCUGAUGUUUGCAUGUCAGCUGAGAUAGUUGAAAUUGAGAAAGGUGGCAAGGUUGUCGAUAGCACAGGUGUUGACUGUGAGAUUACAGAGGCAGAAGUCAGCACUAAGGGAAGCAUACAAGAACAAGAAGUACCUGCCUCUUGACCUUCUUCCCAAGAAGAUCAGAGCCAUCCGGAGACGUCUUACAAAGCAUCAAGCAAUUGAAUCCUUGCCCUGAUUCUUAUGGAUACGUUGAUAAUCUUUUAAUAAUUGAAAGAACUACAUAAUGAUCUGCUUUCUUUGUUUGUCAGACAACAACACUUGAUUUCUUGGCAAAAUAUCAAUUUCAUUUCAAUCUGUGCGUACGUGAAGGAUUAGUAUCAACAACCUUUUGCGCAAGAAUCAAUUCGUAAAGAUCUUCAUGGAAAUGAAUUGAAGUUUUUCGAUAAAGUGAUCGAAUCUACAGAUUUUACUGAGUUAACAAACAAAGAACCAUGGCUCUAAUCAACAAAGCUGGCUGUAAAAUCAGAAAUGUUGUUUGGGAAGCGUGGAAAGAGUGGUUAGGUAGCUUUGAAUCUGGAUCUAGCAGGAGUUGUAUGGUUUGUAAAAAUACAAAUUAGCUUUUCAGAAUGUGGAGGCAUUGAGAUUGAAGAGAGCUGGGACAAGCUUGAGGCGACUGAAAAUUGGGAGAAAACAAUUGAUGAUAUCAUCAAUAAUUUUGAGAAACAACACCGAUGGAAGCUCUUGUACAACAUCUCCUUCUACUAAUUAAAAGGUGUCGAUCUUAGAGUAUUAAUGGAACUACUAGUUGUUCGAUAUCCAAUUUGGCUACUGAUAUGCUGGGAAUGCAUUACCGGUUUGUGUAUAAUCUUCCCAGUAAUGACAAGUGAAGAAAAAAUUGCUCAAAAACCUUUGCUGGCUUGUAUUAUUUUUGAUAUGUUCCUGCUUCUCCGUUCUCAUAAACAUAGCAAAAGUAAUGUAACUUUAGUAGUGUUUACUCGUAGUUCUGUUUAAAUUUAAGACGGUAACAUCUUGGAUUGGAGAGCAAAUUAACAAGAUAUAAUUUCAUUACUUGUUACCCUUUGUGCCCAAAGUUGGGCUGUGAAAAGAUUGAAAUUUUGAUAUUUUUCUACA